rnacentral:rRNA from 1 species
GGCGAACGGGUGAGUAAUAUAUCGGAACGUGCCCAGUCGUGGGGGAUAACGUAGCGAAAGUUACGCUAAUACCGCAUACGAUCUACGGAUGAAAGCGGGGGAUCGCAAGACCUCGCGCGAUUGGAGCGGCCGAUAUCAGAUUAGGUAGUUGGUGAGGUAAAGGCUCACCAAGGCAACGAUCAGUAGCUGGUCUGAGAGGACGACCCAGCCACACUGGGACUGAGACACGGCCCAGACUCCUACGGGAGGCAGCAGUGGGGGAAUUUUUGGACCAAUGGGGGGCAACCCUGAUCCAGCAAUGCCGCGUGUGUGAAGAAGGCCUUCGGGUUGUAAAGCACUUUUGUCAGGAACGAAACGGUGGAGGCUAAUACCUUCUGCUAAUGACGGUACCUGAAGAAUAAGCACCGGCUAACUACGUG